CUUAGCUUAAACACGGAAUUCCUGCAUUUGGAAUUGCAGUACAAUCACAGCACAGGCUCUGUUUUUCUAUAACCAUUGUUUUCCCACCAAAGGCUAAAAUUUAUGGCAAAAAGCACGACAGACACGGUACAGAAGAAAUACAACACUCUGUCAUGGAUAUCUUACACAACUCCAGUCCUGCAGAUGUAGUUUGGAAUUCUGAAGCAUUAUUCAAGUGAGUCCCUUCAUAGGUUGUCCUCCAAAAGAACCUGCGUGUAGAUCCUGACAGGAGCAACAGAGAAACCUGUGGGGUCAUCGUUCAAGAUGCUUUUCCAUGCUACUGGCUUCUGCUUCUGACAAUAGAGAUUUGUACAUCGAUGCUGUGCUCGCCAGCUGGUCCGUGGGAUUUGCAUUACGCUAUUUGUUUGGAUGGAUGCUUUCCUGUAAAGAGAUGAUGUCGCGUUUUUCAGCCGGCACAGGAGGUACCCAAAGUUCUCAGCAUUUGACUUGUGCACGAAUUUCAGAUUCAGGCAAUAAGAGUGAAAUUGGUAUUAAAAAAAUUCGGACGGCACAGGCUUCGUGGUUUUUGUUUUCCACCACAUUGCAGUGCAGCGGGGUAGUUGGUGCAGGGAAUGCACCAUGGACCCAACGCUUUGCCCACCCAAACCAUCAGCAAAAUGUCCAUAUCGCUCAGUGGGAGGAGGUUAGGUCUUAUCUCUGUUGUAAGAGUAUUUCAUUGCAAAGGCAAAUGCUUCUAAAAUACCGCACAUAGCACUCUUCUUCUAUGCGAGCUGGUUAACAUGUGGUCAGCAUUGUUAAAGGUGAGAGAUUACAAACAGUGCAUUAAUUCGCAGCGCACCUUGUUUGCAUGAUAACAGCAAGAUGUAAUGCGCGUAAUGAUAAGCAAAGCUAUUAUGUGCAGAUAGAUAAAGAAUAUAACACAUUCCUUGCUCUUUCCACAGUACAUGGCUACAAAAACCCCAGUGCAACAGCAUUUCUCAUUUUUCAUAUUUUCCAGCACAUUUCGGUUCCUUCUGCUUUUCUUCCCAUGUAGGGCUCCUCGGGACCGCCGUGUCCCUGGAUUUGCAUUUUAUUGCAUGAGCUAAUUGCACGUGUUUUUAAACACAUGUUCUCUUGCUGAUGUCAUUCAUUUAGACUGUAGCAUUUCUGACAUUUUUAGGUAGUCCCCCAGGCCUCGUAGCCCUCUUAGCAGGGUCCUUUCAGUGAGGGGUGUUUGCUUUAUGAUUACUGAGUGACAUCUCAAUAACGUGGAACAUAUUGAGCAGUGCAUGUCUAUCGAGCAGCCUUUUUAAAUGCACGGUCCACUUUGUCAAGUCAUGUGCGAGCCAUAAUUUAGGCUAAUAAUUACCAGACAUGAAUGCUAUGAAACAUUGAUGUCUACACUUUUUCCCCCUCUAAGUACUGAAUUUUAAUACAUUCAGAAAAGGUUUUCCAAAGGCCAAGAUAAGCCCCCUAAAAAGCUCAUAUGGAAGCACUUUAAAAGUGAUAAAUGAUUUGGAAUCUACACUGUCUACUGAUGUACGUCUCAGGAAAGAAAAUUAGAGCUAACAGGUGUUAGAUAGGGAAUGGUGAAGCAUUUUAAUAGAAUUGUCAAAAUGUUGGUCCCAGAUGCUGACAUUAAUGCAUGCAACGAGGAAUGUAAUGCCGCACCACCAUUAAAUGAUUAUUUGUUUAAAUUUUGAGUCGAUGGCAGGAAAUCCUAACUUUGUCCACUACUUCUCUGUACAGGCCAUCCCUCCUGUGCUUUCCUCUAUGAUUUGCAUCAAAGUGUAAUGGUUAUAUGGCUCACAUCUGCAUGCUUUAAAUAACCCAUGCCUGUCAAAUUUCAUUUUUUCCUCUCAGAUCAGAACCAUCAUAACCCCUUCUCCGCCAGCCUUGAAGUCGGUACAAAUCUAUCUGUACAUUUGGGGGAAAAUAAUUUAAAUGCUGCGAGUUACGGGGUAAUUAAUCUUUGAACUAUUUUUCAACUUCAAAUGUAUUUACUAAGCAAUCUGCAUGAACCUGUGAUUACUGCGUAUUUGUGAGGUAUUUUCCAUGUAAUCACAAAGCAGUUACACGGUCAUAGGAAUCUUGUAAAUUAUAACGAUAGCGGGGGAAGCGGCGGGAGGGGGGAGCUCUGCUGCUCGCACUAAAAAGCUUUUCCAGAAAUCUUUGGAAUUCUCUUCAGUGAAAUCGCCUGAGACGGCAGAGAAAGCACGUCCUUUGGAGAUUACUAGAAUUUCUGCCAACAAAAGGGGAUCCGAUAUCCAUGUACGGUUCAGCUGGAUGGAGGGGGAGAAGGGAGCGGAGAUAGCGGCAAUUUAUUAUUAUUAUUAUUAUUUAAUCCAUUGUUUGAAUGGUGAAUCACUAAUUUAAAAGUUGCUGCGAUUUUUUUUUUUCACUGCAGUUUGCAGGCUGCUGAAAGCUCAACAGCCAUUCAGGCUUCAAAGACAAAAGGGAGAUUUCCCUCUUUAAUCUUCGCCGAUGUUCCCUCACUCAACCCAUCUUGGCUGGAAGCUCUCUGGAGCAGCGCACACAGCGCUCGCCAAUGCGCGGAGCCGUGCGCUCCUGGUGCUAAUAAAGCCAUCGCUCCAGCACGGCAGGUCGGGUGAUUACUGCCUCUGGUAAAUGCUUGUGAGACAAUAAGCAGACAUAGGGAGAAAUGAACUGAUUGAGGUGAGCAAGAGGAUGGGGUGGAUGAGAAACGCGGGGUGGGAGAGCCUCGGCGAUACGUUCACCCAGGGGAACCUCACCCUGCUGGUGGAUUCCCGACCCACGCUCUUAUCUCUCUGCAGAGCCCGCAGUGAAAAGCCAAUGCUGUUCGGGAAGCUUUUUCCUUACAGAUGAGAUAUAAAACCAAUGCCUGCCUAACCACUUAUGUACAUUAAUGAUCCCCCGGUGCUCUCCAAAAGAGGAAAAAUAUUAACCCAGGCAUCAUAAUAAUAUGCUGCUUGCUUAUAAGCCCUGUACAAUUUAAAUUCAAUCUGGUGUGAUGUUAUUUCUGACUUCCUGACCCAAAUUGGUGUGCGUGCAGCUCUGAGCUGUUAAGCAGAUGAUUGUUCCAUCCCAGCAGCAGAUCCAUCUCUCCAAUGCCUUGGAAGGAUUUCUCGGCCUGCGUUGCAGAGAGCCUCUGUUGAAAAAUGUGCCGCAUGUCAAACCGUUGGCUGAGCACAGCACAUCAUCCAUGGGGCCAUUUUUACUGUACACACACAUCCUUCGUUUCCUACGAACACACCACUGCCAGAGACUGCAGAUGGAGAAAGGCUCUCAAAUCCCUCUGUUGGUAAAAAGGCGAAAAUGCUCCAGACGGAUUUUCCUCUCCUUUUCCACCUACCCACAGCUCCUUCAGACAGCGUCCUCCCUAUGCAGCAAAUGCAGUCCUGUGAAGGUCAGGGUUGGUGAUAGGCCCGUGUUUUGCUGCUGUGUGCUCAGGUGCAGAAGGUAUGGGAACCCUCCUGGUCCCACCCUGUCUGGGUUUCCCUGGGAGAGCCCUGGUGCCAGGACCUGCACCCCGGAGCUGCUCACACCCUACCUGCUCCGCAAAUGAGCAGAGCCAAAGCAGAUGGCUUUGUGGAGCAUAAAACAAAACAGAGAGAUCUGUGGUGGCUGCAGAAAUACUGCCCUGGCUCUCCCCUGCGUGAUCAGGGGAUGGCAGGGCUCUCCUGCUCUGGGCAGCUGGGUGAGCCCCUAGAAGCUGAAGCUGCUGGAAGAGCUGGCUGCUGACCGACCUCCUGCAUGCCCAAUCCCAGCUCUGCGCUUGCAUUUGUGUUGCAGCAGUGUUUUCCUGGGAGCCAAACAAAACAGUUGUUCAUGAGCCACUCAGAGUAUGUGCUGGGGCAUGAAGGAGGUGUCAGUUUGUCCUCAUUAGUAAUUGCAACAGACUCACUUUGGUGUAGUGUCCUGCUAAAAGGAAUGGUAUGAUGGAUCUUGUCAUCAUUCCUCUGGAAAGUAAAGUAGUCCUCCCCAGUCCGUGGUCCCAGGCAGAGUUUGCUUGCUGAUACAUGAUCAUGGGCAAUGAAGUGAGCUCCAAUCUCCAUUUACGAGCUUUUACAAUCAAUGGUAUGGUUAAAGAUUGCAUGAUAACUAUGCUGGGAAACUUCUGUUUCUUACUCCCCUGUUUUCAGUUGCAGAUAUUUUAUAAUUCAAUGCUGGACUUGUACAUAAUACUUCAGUACCAUUCAUGCAGGUGGCUCCAAUAAAUUUAGAAACUUUUUUUGUGGUAUUUGCAGCUGACUAAUUUUUCCGUGUUGUUUUUCCUUCUCCUUUAUUAUAAAAGUGUAACUCAGUAUCAUUCAUGACAACUAGAAAUGAAGCCAGGCAAAGAUCAGACUUUGGAC
ensembl:lncRNA